GAGUUGAGGAGGCUGAACUGAGAACAGGAUGCAAGAAGCCCUGUUGUCUCUACACCACAAGAAUUCCACACACGCAUCUAGCCCCUCUUCCAGGGCUCGAGAAAUCACUCUAACCAGAAAACCGGGCAAACGAAGCAGGCAACCAUCGGAGAACUCUGAAUUAGUCUCACCUUCAGACCGCGGCUCCCAGAAGCUUCUGCCUCUCUGACAGCUGUCGCUUCGGCAGCCCAAGAGACGAAUUGUCCUCCUUCCUGGUGCCAGAGGACGCAGGAAAUUAGCCAGGUUGCAAGUUGCAAAGCAGCGGCGGCUGCUCCAGGAACUGGACGCGCUCCACCUCCAGCGACAACCGCUGGCCUGGGCCUGGCAGCGGCUUCCCCUCGCUCGCCAUCGCCGGACAAAGCGCAGCCCAGGCAGGCUGGCAAGGCAGAGCUCCGAAGCACGCAGGAUGGAGCGGAGCAAAAGAAUGCGGCUCUAUUCUCGCAAGGGAAAUUAUAAAAAAGUUCAUGUUCACGGUUCCUAUCCACAUGACCGACAGCGGCCAAUGGAAGGGCCGAACAACUCAUAAAGUUGUAUUGCAAAGUUGUAAAUUUUCAUAAACAACAACGGAUUUAUGACCCUUUCCCCAUCACUAAGAGGAGGCGGCUCUUACACAGACGCCAUCUUACCACCGAGUCUGUCCCGAUUUGGGGCUGCAGGUUUUUCAGACCCUUUUAGGUCCGAUUUUAUUUAUAAAAAAAAAAAAAAAAAAAAAAAAAAAAAAAAAAAAAGUCCUAAGAAACUGGCCCAGCCUAGUCAGGGGAUAAGAAUGGAGACCUUCGCGGGCCCAGCUCAGGAUGCUCUAAGCUACUUCCACCGCCUCUCGCCCCUGGUCUCUCACCGCUAGCCCCUUCCCCAGCCACAGUCCUUCCUCAGCAACAGGACUUGGACUAGGUUGCGCCGCAGGGUUUGAGGCCCAUGUCGUCCAAGAAUCCCUCAGCUGCAGUGUUGGACCCUGGGGCAUCCUCACCCUUACUGAAGGCUAAGUGGGGGUACUGCAGCAGGGACCCUGAAUUCCAUGUCUUUCCUACCCCUGGACUGUACUCAGGACGCAUGUGGAAUCCGGGAUCAAUUGGAGGGUAGGUAAUACCCUUUUAGAGCUCAGUCUACACCUUUAGAGGAAAGUUGAAUUUGGAAUUCGUUCAUGGAAUUUAUGAAAGUUUGAGAGGCCGUAGAUAGAAUAUGUAGCAUUAACAAAUAGUCUUUUUUCAAUGGAUCUAAAUAGAUAUUGGUGCACAUACAAUAGCCAGACAAAAACCAUCUACAAAGAGGAAGGCAUAUAUACAAUUAUAGUCACAGAAAAACACAGAAACCCACACACACAAUUAUAGACAUGAGAAAUGUUGAUGCACACGCAUGUGUGUGGGAAUGCAUACAAUUAUAACUAUAAGCAAGCACACAGAGAAAUAGAAAUGUGCUUAAGUACACAUAAAAACAUGUGAAAAGAGACAUGAUACAUUUGUCCAUGAAUAGCUAAAAUUUGGACUCAGGGACAGUGGCUCUGCAUUUGUUUCCCGUGUCUCUUUGGCCUACAGCCAGGGCUGGUCCUUCAGCUAUGGCCACUUCCCCUUGCCCAAGACCCUCUGGAUAAAGCAGUCCGUGUUUCUUUGUCACCAAGCAUCUUUAUUGUUACAUAAAACACAGGUAGCUGGGCUGGGAAGCGUGCCUUCUCUGAACCCCAGGCUGGGGGGUGGGACGGGACAUGAGGAGACAAGGGAGAUGAUGGCCCCGGUGGGUGCUGGACUUCCCCCACCCACUACAGAAUUAGUUCAAUACAACACACCAUGCUACAAAGUCACCCCAUUAAAACAUCCUUCCAAAGUCAAGACAUUCCUUUACAAAUGAGCUCCAAGAUUAUAGAAAUGACAACAACACAAAAAAAAUCUGGUUCAAAUAUACAGUAUUUGUCCUUGUAGGAAAAGUCAGGGUAUACAUAUUUGACAUGGCUGAACAGUAGGACACAAAAGCAAGGGGGAGAGGACAGUGAGUCUGGGAACAUCUCCUUAGUCCCACAAAAACAAAACCCAGAGCUAUUCCAGAGGAUGGCAGCCAGCUCGGGAAUGCUCCCCUCCUGAAGUAGGGUUAAUGGCCCUGACCUUGUGUCAAAGCCAGAGAAAGAGGGAUUCUAGGUUACAGCACUUGGUAUGCUUUGGAAUAAAUAUAUUAUUUUUCAAUUUAAAUAGAAGCC
ensembl:antisense Hoxaas3 Hoxa cluster antisense RNA 3